ensembl:lincRNA
UCUUUCUGUGUGCAGACAUGCGCCAGAGGCCGGGCGGCCUCCACUGUGCGUUACUGCAUGACGGUUGGUGGCACAGUGGUCCUGGUGGUUGGGAUACUCUGUUUCGUAUCGUGGAGUGAAGGCAAUGUUGCCGUCCAGCCUGGCUCGCUGCCCGCCACCGUGAAGCAGCCAUCGCCCGAGAUGCCCCCGACUUGGCUUAAGUCUGUCAUCAUCCUCUGCUGCAGCGUGGGUGGUCUGCUUCUGUUCUUUGGCCUGCUUUGGUCUAUCCAGGAAAGGACAAAGAAGUCAAGCCAGGGGGACUUCUACCGACUCUCCAGAGACCUGUAUCACCUUGCUGUGGAGUGCCCUGUGAAGGAGCCCUACAGGCCUCCUAAGGAGGCUGUCAUUCCCACUUAUGAGGAGACCAUGUACUACCCACUGGCUGAGGGUCUCCUGCAAUUCCCUGUGCAGCCUGAAGAAGACCUCCAGUGCCACGCCCCAGGGGAUGCCCGGCUGGGGUCAGCAUCCUUCUCACGCCCACCCAGCUACGAGAGCAUCCUCCUCACUCAGGGGCCUGUUUCU